UACGUAGGGGGCGAGCGUUGUCCGAAGUUACUGGGCGUAAAGCGUGCGCAGGCGGUUUGUUAAGUCUGCUGUGAAAUCCCCGAGCUCAACUUGGGAAUUGCAGUGGAUACUGGCAAGCUGGAGUACGGUAGAGGAAGGUGGAAUUCCCGGUGUAGCAGUGAAAUGCGUAGAGAUCGGGAGGAACACCAGUGGCGAAGGCGGCCUUCUGGACCAGUACUGACGCUCAUGCACGAAAGCGUGGGGAGCAAACAGG
rnacentral:rRNA from 1 species